rnacentral:lncRNA from 1 species
CUCAUGCAAGAGAAAGUCGAGCUUGCUUAGGCGCUCAAUCAUCUCGAUCAUGUACAAUACAUGAUCAGUGACUGAUGUUUCUUCUCUCAUUCGAGCAUUAAAGAUGGCACAACUAAUCUUGUAUCUCUCAACAUCAUCGAGUGUGCCAAAGGACUUGUUCAACACUUGCAACAUGUCCUAUGGUAGAGCAUUCUCGAAACGACGACUGAACUCAUCAUUCAUUACCGCCAGCAU